rnacentral:rRNA from 1 species
GACGUAGGGGGCCAGCGUUGCUCGGAAUUACUGGGCGUAAAGGGUUCGUAGGCGGUGUGGCAAGUCGGGAGUGAAAUCUCUGGGCUUAACUCAGAGGCUGCUUCCGAAACUGCCGUGCUAGAGUGCGGGAGAGGCGAGUGGAAUUCCUGGUGUAGCGGUGAAAUGCGCAGAUAUCAGGAAGAACACCCGUGGCUAAGGCGGCUCUCUAGUACGGUACUGACGCUGAGACGCGAAAGCGUGGGGGAGCGAACAGG